rnacentral:tRNA from 1 species
GCCUGGGUGGCUCAGUCGGUUGAGCGUCCGACUUCGGCUCAGGUCACGAUCUCACGGUUCGUGGGUUCGAGCCCCACUUCGGGCU